CAUAUUCACACUGUAAUUAACAACAUGUAACUGGUGGUAAUUGCAGUCUGUAAUUCCAGAGGUGCAACAAUGAAUGCUUGUUACCAUGCUUGUUACAAAUGUUAAAGUUUCCGAUAGCAUCCCAACCAUAUAUCCCAACACACCAUAUUUCAGCCUGCACAAACCAUGUGAUAAGUGUUAGCCAAUUUUAAACCGACCACCUCAUUGGCACAACUCUGCAAUAAAGUGCUCUAGAGUCUGAUGCCCAGGGCCAAUGGCAAAAACGAGUUCACAAACAGUUCACAUUAAAAGAUACUUAAUUAACAGUUAUGGUUAAAAUUGUGGGAAAGUCAUUCAUGCUUGCCAAAUUGUACGUUUAUUAAGCUUGGUUGAAUAACGCAGUUAAAAUGUUCAGAAGACAAACGCUUAUUUCAUCAUGUAACCUUGCAAAGUUUUCACUGCUGAGGAACAUUCUCACUUUUGGAUGGGAUGCAUUGUUGGAAUUAUUUAUCCCAGAAAUUAAGGCAUCGUGUCAAGGUCUACCCAUCUGCACAGCACGCUCGAAAUAACAACGACCUUGAACGGUACCAAAUGUGUUGACACUGAUAUUAUGUGGCGGGUUGAAAAGAAGAUUCCCACAAGGUCUCAGACUACAUGAUGGGAAACAGAUGAAGACAGAGACAUAUUGUAGUUGCUGAUUUCCAUUGUUACUUGUAAUGUUAAAAAGGGAAGAAAAAGACAAUCCCAGGUUUUCUAAAUUAAUUAUCCAGACUACUACUCACCACCAGAAUAUUUGUUUUUAUGUUAUUGAGUAGACCUAUGUAUGUUUAAAAUGUAAUUAUUAAUUAAACAAUUAAAAUCUUUGUAAUUUUGUUUGAAAUCUAAGGUAUUUUUACGUUGCAAUAUAUGUGACUAAAGGAGAAGCUCAUCUUUUGUUUUUAGGUAUUUUCACUUGGUAAUGAGUAAUAAGUAACUAUAUAGAAAUUGCGCAUAUCUCAUUUUUAAGUUACACUUAACUUUAAAUAACUAAAUCCUAUGUUACAACUAGCGACGAGCUUGUACUUAUGCAGAUAUUACAGAUAUGUACUCUAUGGUGUAUUAGUGUGUUUAUUUUCUCACUUGAAUGGUGCUACCAGAAGCCUUAAAAUGAGGGCGAUCUUGACAGGAUGGGUAAUGUACUAUAUAUAUUGCAUUCGGAAAGUAUUCAGACCCCUUGACUUUUUCCACAUUUUGUUACGUUACAGCCUUAUUCUAAAAUUGAUUAAAUCGUUUUUUUCUCCUCAUCAAUCUACACACAAUAACCCAUAAUAACAAAGCAAAAACAGAUUUUAGAAAUUCUUGCAAAUGUAUAAAAAAAAACUUAAAUAUCACAUUUACAAAAGUAUUCAGACCCUUUACGUAUUACUUUGUUGAAGCACCUUUGGCAGCGAUUACAGUCUCGAGUAUUCUUUGGUAUGACGCUACAAUCUUGGCACACCUGUAUUUUGGGAGUUUCUCCCAUUCUUCUCUGCAGAUCCUCUCAAGCUCUGUCAGGUUGGAUGGGGAGUGUCGCUGCACAGCUAUUUUCAAAUCAAAUUGUAUUAGUCAUAUGUGCCGAAUACAACAGGUAGACCUUACAGUGAAAUACUUACUUAUGAGCUCCUAACCAACAAUGCAGUUAUUUUAAUUUUUUUAAGUAACAAGUAAUUAAAGAGCAUAUAUAUUUUUUAUACCUUUAUUUAACUAGGGAAGUCAGAUAAGAACAAAUUCUUAUUUUCAAUGAUGGCCUAGGAACAGUGGGUUAACUGCCUUGUUCAAGGGUAGAAUGACAGAUUUUUACCUUGUCAGCUCAGGGAUUUGAUCUUGCAACCUUUCGGUUACUAGUCCAACGCUCUAACCACUAGGCUACCUGCCCAAUAGCGAGACUAUAUACAGGGGGGUACCGGUACAGAGUCAAUGUGGCACCGGCACCGGUGAGUUGAGGUAAUUGAGGAUGUACAUAGAUUAUGUACAUUAGUAAACUUAUUCAAGUGGCUAUGCAUAGAUGAUAACAACCGAGAGAAGCAGCGGUGUAAAAGAGGGGGGGCAAUGCAAAUAGUCUGGGUAGCGAUUUGAUUAGAUGUUCAGGAGUCUUGUAGCUUAGGGGUAAAAGCUGUUUAGAAGCCUCUUGGACCUAGACUUGGCGCUCUGGUACCACUUGCCGUGUGGUAGCAGAGAGAACAGUCUAUGAUCAGGGUGGC
rnacentral:lncRNA from 1 species